rnacentral:rRNA from 1 species
GACGAACGCUGGCGGCGUGCUUAACACAUGCAAGUCGAACGAAGAGCGAUGGAAGCUUGCUUCUAUCAAUCUUAGUGGCGAACGGGUGAGUAACGCGUAAUCAACCUGCCCUUCAGAGGGGGACAACAGUUGGAAACGACUGCUAAUACCGCAUACGAUCUAAUCUCGGCAUCGAGGAUAGAUGAAAGGUGGCCUCUACAUGUAAGCUAUCACUGAAGGAGGGGAUUGCGUCUGAUUAGCUAGUUGGAGGGGUAACGGCCCACCAAGGCGAUGAUCAGUAGCCGGUCUGAGAGGAUGAACGGCCACAUUGGGACUGAGACACGGCCCAGACUCCUACGGGAGGCAGCAGUGGGGAAUCUUCCGCAAUGGACGAAAGUCUGACGGAGCAACGCCGCGUGAGUGAUGACGGCCUUCGGGUUGUAAAGCUCUGUUAAUCGGGACGAAAGGCCUUCUUGCGAAUAGUGAGAAGGAUUGACGGUACAGGAAUAGAAAGCCACGGCUAACUACGUG